AAAACACAGGAGCGAUACAAGGGCGGGGCGGAAGUCGGCCCGUUCUCCACCCCAUCACGGCAGCAUCCUGAUAUGGGACCAUCCCUUCUGUACCAGCCCCGCUCCAACCCCACCUGACCAGGCGGCCCCGCUCCUAGUCCUAUGCCCACAGGGACCAGGACGUGGGCAACGAAAGCCAGACAAGCCCUGACGUAGACAGCCCUGCGACCCCCGAGCGCCGCCUCCUCCACAGCCGUUACACAGCUCGUGCACACAAGCCGGGAGCUUGUUACACAACCUUGGUGCGCGCACUCGACACCCACAUCCUCCGGGUAGCCUGACGGUCACACAGAGGAAACCACAGCCUUGUGAGCAGGACACGGGCUCGAUUCCAGACUCCUGGCAUCUAGACCUGGGAGGAAGGGAGAAGCAACGGCUUGUGGCUGGGAGCCAGGCCCGUGAGUUCCCCUGCUGGCCUGCUGUGGAGCCCCCAGAGGUCACAUCUGGGGCCCUGCUUCCUUCCUUCCUUCCACGACGAUGAUCCCGAUAUCCACACCCCAGUGCCAGCCAGGUCACUCAAACGUCUACCAACACCUCUUCCCCUGGGGAUGCCAGCAAAAGAAGGGGUAGGAAUUGAGAGCAGAGACAGAGUGGAUGAGAUGACUUCUAAAAGAGUCUUUUCUUUUUAUUACACACACUAUGUUUUGUCUGGUGUGUGUGUGUGUGUGUGUUUGCCACAGCUUGUGUGUAGAGGUCAGAGGAAGACUUGCUGACGUCAUUUCUCUCCUGCCAUGUGUGCUCUGGGUAUGGAACUUCGAUUGUCAGACCCGGCAUGAAGCAGCACCUUUGCCUCUGAGCCAUGGCCCCGCUCUAAAGGGACCUUUUCUGUUGGAGCUCUUCCUGACGAGGGAGAGGAUCCACUAGCUCAGGGAGUAGCAAAGGUACUGUGUACUUUUAAAAGAGUAUUAUUUAAUUAUAAUACAACGACAUCAUUUUCUCCACACGUUUUCUCUCCAUCAUCCUACAGCAAACAUGUUUCACUCUUCUUCGUGGUAAGUGGGGGAGGGGCGCAGUUGAUCAUGGACGUCCCCAGGCCCCAAGUGCCCUCUAAGCCAGAUAAGACCUCAGACUCGUGUUUCUCUGGAGCACGUGUGGGAAAUGAGUGCAGAUGCACAUGGCUUGCACAUGCUCCUUGCCUGGCCACCGACACGCAGAGAUGGGAACAUGGGAGAUGUCUCCGUGGGAAGCAUCCUCAGAGACACUUUCUCAGAACUGCCGGAAGCCUGGAUCCCGUAGGCAGAAAGGUCAGAGUUCAUGAAGCCUUGAGGCCUGGAAGGGAACCAAGGCUGGAUGACCGAGACAGUUGCUGCCAGUGAGUGGAACCCCAAGCCUCUGCCCUGCAUCCUGGUUAUGCCACAGGAAACGGGCCAACCCUUGCGGCAGAUGAUUCCCAAGAGAUGAACGCCCUCUCUGCAUCAGUCCGGUUCUCAGAUGAGAGACAAAUCUCGGCUUGCAAACCACGUCCCUAGCUCCAGAACCAAAGCACCACCAACUGUGCUGCCCUUGUCCUGCUGGUUCCCCAAGGCCACCCUGAGCACAGUAUUCAAGCUUCGUGUUAUCUGCCCAGAGCUCAUUGCUUUGGGGAAGGGUGGUGAGUCAGUAGACCUUGCCCAUGGCUUUCAGAAGUGGCGCUGUCUUCUACAUGGAAAGCUGGGCUGCGGAUUUGGGAUUUGACUUUGUAUCUGGACCCACCCUCCUGGAUACACGUGGCUUGCAGGAAGGUGACUCCUCCUCCAUGGGGGGUGGGGGUGGUGGACGGACACAUGAUUUACACCUGGCCAUUCAAGCACGGCACAUCUUGACCACAGUGACUGGCUCAGAGAGGACAUAUGACCAGCCCUGACCAAUCAAAGGCAGUGCCAGGGUUUUCCUGAAGCCACCGAGAACAGAACAGCUUUCCAUCCUGAAGCUGCAGAACAGGUGUGUGUCAGGAGCUGCUAGGAGCUUUGCCUGGGGGACAUCAUCCAAAGAAGGAAGUCCACCACAGACAGCAGAGGCCAAAGUCCUGACGACAUUGUCUGGGCUGUGCCAAGGACAGGCCCACCUCUGCACUCUACGAUGGGAGAAGCCAAUAAAUUCCUCCCCUCCCCCUCCUUGCUCCUGCCUCCUGCACAUGAGUUGAGUUCCUUUUCUUUGAAACCAAGAUCUUUCCAAGCCGCCCCCAACCCCCCAGUGUAAAUCAUUGUUAACGGCUCUGUCUUCCUGGCUUCACUCCCAUGCUUACAUAGACAUGCUGGACAUUUUUAAAUAAAAAGUGACACCGCUGGCCACUCCUUCCUUUGGGAUAGGCUA